rnacentral:rRNA from 1 species
GGGUCAGUAGGUUGGUCGUGCCACCGGUACGUACUGGUCUCACUGAUUCCUCCUUCCUGAAGUACCGUAAUGCCGUUAAUUUGGUGUUGCGGGGAAACAGGACUGUUACUUUGAAAAAAUUAGAGUGUUUAAAGCAAGCUAACGCUUGAAUACAUUAGCAUGGAAUAAUGAAAUAGGACGAUCGAUCCUAUUUUGUUGGUUUCUAGGAUUGACGUA